rnacentral:rRNA from 1 species
UACAGAGGUCCCAAGCGUUGUUCGGAUUCACUGGGCGUAAAGGGUGCGUAGGUGGUCAGGUAAGCCUGAAUGGUGAAAUCCGUCUAGAGCUCAACUUCAGAAAUCGGCAUUGGAUACUAUCUGGCUGGAGAGGGUCGGAGGGGGGACUGGAAUUCUCGGUGUAGCAGUGAAAUGCGUAGAUAUCGAGAGGAACACCAGUGGCGAAGGCCGACUUCCUGGCCUGUUCUUGACGCUGAGGCGCGAAAGCUAGGGGAGCAAACGGG